AAAUGUUCAUUUUGAUCAGACAAUGUCCAUUGUCUGAUCGAUAGGCUUUAAUACCAUAUUAAAAUUUAAUUUAACUCAUUCUUACAAAACUGACUUGUAAAGUGAGGAGUGUCACUUUAUAUAAACUCUUUCAAUGUUGUAUCUCCGAUCAAUGUAAAAUUUAAGAUCUUUUUAAUAAUGACAAGUUGUUGACUUAUCGAUCUUUUUUUAGUUGUGCCACAUUUACUUCUACCAUUUUCUCUACCAAAUUCAUCUUUUAUUAUGUUUCUCUCUUAAUUUACUACUUUAUUCGAAGAAUCCACACCAUGUAAUUUUAUCACAAUGCAAUGCAUUCUUUUUGUCUUUAAACAGUUUUAUUCGGAGAAUUUUUUAAUUAGAUUUUUAUGUAGACCAUUUUUUAUUUUCUUUUAUAUUGUUAUCAUGGAUAUUGAACUGGUCCUUCCAAAAUGUAUGUAUUUUUUCUUAUUUUCUUUUUUAUUUAAAAAGGUUUUUUUAGAGUGUGGUAAUUUUGAAGUUAAUGUGGUGAAUCCAAAUCAGAAAAUUAACACAAACAAACACAAAUUCAAUUCUUUAAAAAAAAUAGAUAAAUCCAAUUCACGUGCACUUGUAAAGUAAAAAAUGUUUAUAAAACAUUAGCAUGAUUAUCACUGGUUGAAUUGUAAUUCCUUGUGUCGAAACAGGUUGCUUGACAGAGUAAG
rnacentral:lncRNA from 1 species